rnacentral:rRNA from 1 species
GAUGAACGCUAGCGGCAGGCUUAACACAUGCAAGUCGAGGGACGGUAGCAAUACUGGACCGGCAAACGGGUGCGGAACACGUACGCAACUUACCCCAACAGGUGAACAGCCUUCGGAAACGAAGAUUAAUACACCGUAAGAUAUAGGAGUGGCAUCAUUUUUAUUAUAAUAGCUCAGGCGGUUUGGGAUGGGCGUGCGCCUGAUUAGGUAGUUGGUGGGGUAACGGCUCACCAAGCCAACGAUCAGUAACUGGUGUGAGAGCACGACCAGUCACACGGGCACUGAGACACGGGCCCGACUCCUACGGGAGGCAGCAGUGAGGAAUAUUGGGCAAUGGACGCAAGUCUGACCCAGCCAUGCCGCGUGAAGGAUGAAGGCGUUCUGCGUUGUAAACUUCUUUAUCUGGGAAGAAACCUACGAUUUCUAUUGUAGCUGACGGUACCAGAGGAAUAAGCACCGGCUAACUCCGUG